rnacentral:rRNA from 1 species
GUGGGGAAUCUUAGACAAUGGGCGCAAGCCUGAUCUAGCCAUGCCGCGUGAGUGAUGAAGGCCCUAGGGUUGUAAAGCUCUUUCAGCUGGGAAGAUAAUGACUGUACCAGCAGAAGAAGCCCCGGCUAACUCCGUGCCAGCAGCCGCGGUAAUACGGAGGGGGCUAGCGUUGUUCGGAAUUACUGGGCGUAAAGCGCACGUAGGCGGACCGGAAAGUCAGAGGUGAAAUCCCAGGGCUCAACCUUGGAACUGCCUUUGAAACUCCUGGUCUUGAGGUCGAGAGAGGUGAGUGGAAUUCCGAGUGUAGAGGUGAAAUUCGUAGAUAUUCGGAGGAACACCAGUGGCGAAGGCGGCUCACUGGCUCGAUACUGACGCUGAGGUGCGAAAGCGUGGGGAGCAAACAGGAUUAGAAACCCGUGUAGUCC